rnacentral:tRNA from 1 species
GGGCCCGUGGCGUAGUGGUAGCGCAACAUUAGGGCGCGAAACCCGAAUCGUGGGUUCAAAUCCCACCGGGCCCA